GGCGGGGAUUCAAGUUGUUGAGUUAUUGUAGCUGAAUACUUUUUAAUCCUUCGUAGAAUGAAAAGACAGUUUGAGAUAAGAUUAGAGCUGUGAUGCAACAAAUAAUAGCCACUGCGACGUUUUUGCCUCUAAUUGAAAUUCCUUAUGCAUCCUCAUGUGAACGUGACCUGGGUGUUAUUGUCGACAGUGAUUUGCGUUGGAC